GACGAACGCUGGCGGCGUGCUUAACACAUGCAAGUCGAACGGUAAGGCCCUUUCGGGGGUACACGAGUGGCGAACGGGUGAGUAACACGUGGGUGAUCUGCCCUGCCCUUUGGGAUAAGCCUGGGAAACUGGGUCUAAUACCGGAUAGGACUACGCGAUGCAUGUCGUGUGGUGGAAAGCUUUUGCGGUGUGGGAUGGGCCCGCGGCCUAUCAGCUUGUUGGUGGGGUGAUGGCCUACCAAGGCGACGACGGGUAGCCGGCCUGAGAGGGUGUCCGGCCACACUGGGACUGAGAUACGGCCCAGACUCCUACGGGAGGCAGCAGUGGGGAAUAUUGCACAAUGGGCGCAAGCCUGAUGCAGCGACGCCGCGUGGGGGAUGACGGCCUUCGGGUUGUAAACCCCUUUCAGCACAGACGAAGCGUAAGUGACGGUAUGUGCAGAAGAAGCACCGGCCAACUACGUG
rnacentral:rRNA from 1 species